rnacentral:lncRNA from 10 species
CGGGCCUCCACCCGCGCCUGCACAGGCUGCCCCAGACCUGAAGCUCCCGGAGAGGGCGCGCUGCCAGUCCCAGCCCUUAGGACGCUGAGAAGCCAAGGAAGUGCCAGCCCCAGCGGCAUCCACUCCUUCCUUGGCCUCACUUGGGCCUCCACCCUGCCCUCUGCCCUUCAGCCACCGGCCUCCUGAGUGUGUCCAGACCUGGCCCUAAACCUGGCUGAAAGGAGCCAACCCUCCGGCAACCUCCCAGAAGCAACAUUGGUGACCUAUUAGAUGACUCUCUCGACCACUUCUUCCCCCCCCCCACCCCCCACCCCCCACCCCCACCGCCUGCCCCAAUUUUUGCCCCUAUCUAGGUUUUUCUUUAAGUCUGUACAGCUCCCAGGACAUGGAUGUGUCCUUUAAGCCCAGUUUUCAUUUAUGUGGAACCAGGGUCAUCCAGUGCAUAAAGAAACCCUGCAAGGAAGUGCCGCUGAGGGGAACUGAGGUCUGUGAACUGUAAAGCCCUUCUACAUGUUGUUUAUGAUUGCUAUCAUAGAGGGCGGUGGGAGAGACCUGUGACUGAGCACAGGAGGAGGCCAGACGCAGACAGUGAUACUGCUGUGUUUG